rnacentral:tRNA from 1 species
AGCGUCUUGGAGCAGCUGGUAGCUCGUUGGGCUCAUAACCCAAAGGUCGUCGGAUCGAAACCGACAGACGCUA